rnacentral:rRNA from 1 species
GGGUGCGUAACACGUGGGUAACCUGCCCUUUAGUGGGGAAUAACCCCGGGAAACCGGGGCUAAUACCGCAUAAGAUCCGCAAGGAUGAAAGCCGUAAGGCGCUGAUGGAGGGGCCCGCGCACGAUUAGCUAGUUGGUAGGGUAACGGCCUACCAAGGCUAUGAUCGUUACCUGGUCUGAGAGGAUGGCCAGCCACACUGGAACUGAGACA